CAUGCUAUCAGGUUCAGUGCGGAGUAGUACCUUUAAAAGUGUAGUUUUACACAUCAGUUAUGUCUCAAAAAAGGAAGUGUUUGAAUUUAAAACAAAAAAGUGAACUGCUGGAAUCCCCGAGUAAAGGUUGAAUGUGAAAUAAACGACAUUAACGAAUGGAAUGAAGAUGAACCAGCAAACUUAAAUCAGUUGGCGAAUGAAAUAACAAUUGAUUCUGAUUCGGAAAAAGAUGACAAUCAAAAUAUUAUGUCAAAUACAGAAGACGAGCUUAUUUCAACAAGCCCAGCUAUGACUUUUUCCAAUGGGCUGAAGGAAAUGAUGCAGCUAACUUUUCCAGAAACACAAUCAGAAAUUUCCACAAUAAAAUUUGAGCCGAUGAAAACCCCCACGAAGAAUGUAACAUCAGGAACAGUAAAUGUUUGGGCUGGGAUUGUUGGAAAUUACUUAUUCCUGCCAGAAAGUCUAAAAGGCCAUAAUUAUCGUCGGUUUUUAGAAAAUGAUUUACCAAUAUUGCUAGAAAAAGUACCAUAUUUAAUUAGAAACAGAACGUCAGAAUGUGGUUCAUGCAUGACAUCGCGCGCGCUCAUUUCACUGUUGUAGAAAGAGAAUAUUUAAAUCACACACCAAGGCUGGUUUAUCACACUCCAGUUAACACUGUAGAAGAGCUGAAGGAUAGUAUAAGAGCUUGCUGCGAUUUAAUAAGAAUCACUGGAGGUAUACUUCAAAGAGCUGAAAAAUGUAUCCUUCAAGGUGGAGGACACUUUCAACAACUUAUCUAGUCUCUAUAUUCAACUUUUUUUCAAAAAUGUUGUUAUUAAUUUA